rnacentral:rRNA from 1 species
GACGAACGCUGGCGGCAUGCCUAAUACAUGCAAGUUGAACGAUGAUAUUCUCUGCUUGCCGAGAAUUGAAGAGUAGCGAACGGGUGAGUAACACGUGGGGAACCUGCCCAUGAGAGGGGGAUAACAUUCGGAAACGGAUGCUAAUACCGCAUAAUGCUUUGGACCGCCUGGUCCAGAGACGAAAGACGGCUUUUGCUGUCACUCAUGGAUGGCCCCGCGCCGUAUUAGCUAGUUGGUGAGGUAAUGGCUCACCAAAGCUGUGAUACGUAGCCGACCUGAGAGGGUGAUCGGCCACACUGGGACUGAGACACGGCCCAGACUCCUACGGGAGGCAGCAGUAGGGAAUCUUCCACAAUGGGCGAAAGCCUGAUGGAGCAAUGCCGCGUGAAUGAAGAAGGUCUUCGGAUCGUAAAGUUCUGUUAUUAGGGAAGAACAAGUCAAGGAGUAACUGUCUUGACUUUGACGGUACCUAACCAGAAAGUCACGGCUAACUACGUG